GUGCCAGCCGCCGCGGUAAUACCGGCAGCCCGAGUGAUGGCCGAUAUUAUUGGGCCUAAAGCGUUCGUAGCCGGCCAGUCAAGUCUGUUGGGAAAUCCACGCGCUCAACGCGUGGGCGUCCAGCGGAAACUGUCUGGCUUGGGGCCGGAGGACUCGAGGGGUACGGCCGGGGUAGGAGUGAAAUCCUGUAAUCCUGGACGGACCGCCGGUGGCGAAAGCGCCUCGGGAAGACGGACCCGACAGUGAGGGACGAAAGCUCGGGGAGCAAACAGGAUUAGAUACCCGAGUAGUCC
rnacentral:rRNA from 1 species